rnacentral:rRNA from 1 species
GAUGAACGCUGGCGGCGUGCCUAAUACAUGCAAGUCGAGCGAAUGGAUUAAGAGCUUGCUCUUAUGAAGUUAGCGGCGGACGGGUGAGUAACACGUGGGUAACCUGCCCAUAAGACUGGGAUAACUCAGGGAAACCGGGGCUAAUACCGGAUAACAUUUUGAACCGCAUGGUUCGAAAUUGAAAGGCGGCUUCGGCUCUCACUUAUGGAUGGACCCGCGUCGCAUUAGCUAGUUGGUGAGGUAACGGCUCACCAAGGCAACGAUGCGUAGCCGACCUGAGAGGGUGAUCGGCCACACUGGGACUGAGACACGGCCCAGACUCCUACGGGAGGCAGCAGUAGGGAAUCUUCCGCAAUGGACGAAAGUCUGACGGAGCAACGCCGCGUGAGUGAUGAAGGCUUUCGGGUCGUAAAACUCUGUUGUUAGGGAAGAACAAGUGCUAGUUGAAUAAGCUGGCACCUUGACGGUACCUAACCAGAAAGCCACGGCUAACUACGUGCCAGCCGCCGCCGUAA